AGAAUUCACAAUUCACCUCAGUAAGUGAUGUAGCUGUAGCUAGGACUAGGACUGGGACUAGGACAGGGACUAGGACUGGGACUAGGACUGGGACUAGGACUGGCAGAGAUGGUCAACUAGGGUUUAUUACAGGUUAUUUAUCACCAACCCUGAGUUAGACAGGCCUACAACGCUCUGCUGCUAACUGGUAUAUCACAUCACCCAGAGAGAGAGAGGACAGAGAGAGGUGAGAGGACAGAGAGAGAGAGAGGUGAGAGGACAGAGAGAGAGAGGUGAGAGGACAGAGAGAGAGAGAGAGGUGAGAGAGAGAGGACAGAGAAAGAGAGGAGGGAGAGAGAGAGGUGAGAGAGACAAGAGGACAAAGAGAGAGAGAGAGGUGAGAGGACAGAGAGAGAGGAGGGAGAGACAGAGAGGACAGAGAGAGUCCUGGGGAACAUGUAGUGUACAAGUGCACUGCCAUUAAAUGACUGACAUUUCACUGAAAUACUGUAGGUGAUGAAACGAUUGGAGUCAUAGACAAAAUGUCUGUUUUUUUUAUGGAAGC
ensembl:lncRNA